CAAGAGAGCCCAGGGCUGCCACACCAACCCUAGGCUGCCCACUCCCUGGCACACCUCUCGCCACCAGCCCAAACAGUUAUUGUGGUGAUGACCCUUUUUAAGUACUAGAUGGUGCCAUUUCUACCAAACGUAAACAGGCUCCACAAAGCACAGCAUCAACGCGUGUCAGGCAGUGCACAGCAAGAGCUGAGACAUUCGUGCAGCUGUUCUUCCCCUCUGCUGACUUUAUGUGGAGUAAAGGGCUACUCCAGCUGAGGAAAAAUGCCAACAAAGGAGAUGAAAACAGCCAGAAAUUGUAUAUACUUAUCAUGUACAACAUGAUGCCCUGAAAUAUGUCUACACUACGGGAUGGCCAAAUUGAGGCAAUUAACAUAUGCAUGACCUCACAAACUUCACAUUUUUUGUGGAUUUACCUGAACACCUGUUUUUCUGGGACACCAACCUGUAGCAGUACUAGAAACAGCAAAUACAUCUAUGUGAAACUGUAAGUUUUAUGUACCCUAUCAACAAUAAAAAUUUAUCUACUGUG